UUGACAGUUUGGCUUCCCUGUUCUGGGUGGCAAAGCCUGUGGAGUACUCACCUACCUGCUGCAUGAAGGCAGCAUGGAGGGACUGUGGUGGAUUAUCUGCAAAGAUGGCCAAAAUUCUCUCAUCCCUGCAGGCACAUACAAGGUUGUUGCAUGGCAUAAGUAAAGUGACAGUUAUAGGAUACAUGCAACUUUUCAGUGACAAAGAUCUGUGCAGCAUCGACAGUACUGCCUAAUGAGGUUUCACCAUAAUGAAGUAUCACAACCAGUUUACAGACCAGAAAACUGAGACACAGGAAGGGGUGGUGACUUGAGCAAGGUGCAUCAGCUGGAAAUUGAAGUAUACAGAAUGCUUAUUUGGUCUACUCAGUAUCAUCCUAAAUGUAUGUACCAAUGCUUAGGAGUUUGCAGUUCACCCGCAAACCUCAGCGAUCCAAGCUCCCCUGGAUGACCAUCACUCACCAAGAAAAGAGCAAUAACAGGACCUGUUUUGCUAAUCCAGGACUGUUCUCCAGCACUAACUCUAAAUAAUCCCUUCUGCUAGAGUCCACUUUCUGGAACCUGUUGCCUCCGUUUUCAACGUUUCCCAAACUUGGUCCGUUGUGUGAGCUGGCUGAUAAAAGUUCCAGGGAGAAGACAUCUUACUCUUAUUGGAUCAUGCACAGUGCCUGAAGCAUUCUGUUGCAUGUAGAAGUCAGUAAAUUGCAGAUGUAAGAUUCAAAACCAGACUUCACAUCUACCGACUUCAGUGACCCUGAAAUUUGUUCACAGAGAGCAUUUAACAUAACUGUCUUCAUCAUCUCCUUCUCUACAUUAAAAAUUAUGG
rnacentral:lncRNA from 10 species